rnacentral:rRNA from 1 species
AGAGUUUGAUCCUGGCUCAGAGUGAACGCUGGCGGCAGGCCUAACACAUGCAAGUCGAACGGCAGCACAGCAGUAGCAAUACUGUGGGUGGCGAGUGGCGGACGGGUGAGGAAUACAUGGGAAUCUGCCCUGUCGUGGGGGAUAACGUAGGGAAACUUACGCUAAUACCGCAUACGACCGGAAGGUGAAAGCGGCGGACCGCAAGGCGUCGCGCGACUGGAUGAGCCCAUGUCGGAUUAGCUAGUUGGCGGGGUAAAGGCCCACCAAGGCGACGAUCCGUAGCUGGUCUGAGAGGAUGAUCAGCCACACUGGAACUGAGACACGGUCCAGACUCCUACGGGAGGCAGCAGUGGGGAAUAUUGGACAAUGGGCGCAAGCCUGAUCCAGCCAUGCCGCGUGAGUGAAGAAGGCCUUCGGGUUGUAAAGCUCUUUUGUCCGGAAAGAAAAGCUCUCGGUUAAUACCCGGGGGUUCUGACGGUACCGGAAGAAUAAGCACCGGCUAACUUCGUGCCAGCAGCCGCGGUAAUACGAAGGGUGCAAGCGUUACUCGGAAUUACUGGGCGUAAAGCGUGCGUAGGUGGUUCGUUAAGUCUGAUGUGAAAGCCCUGGGCUCAACCUGGGAAUGGCAUUGGAUACUGGCGAUCUAGAGUGCGGUAGAGGGCAGUGGAAUUCCCGGUGUAGCAGUGAAAUGCGUAGAGAUCGGGAGGAACAUCUGUGGCGAAGGCGACUGCCUGGACCAGCACUGACACUGAGGCACGAAAGCGUGGGGAGCAAACAGGAUUAGAUACCCUGGUAGUCCACGCCCUAAACGAUGCGAACUGGAUGUUGGGUGCAACUAGGCACUCAGUAUCGAAGCUAACGCGUUAAGUUCGCCGCCUGGGGAGUACGGUCGCAAGACUGAAACUCAAAGGAAUUGACGG